GUCGCUACAUGUUGAAAUGGUUGGCAACUCUACCAAAAGUCAAGAUAACGCCGGGACAAGGUGACCAUGUUGAAAUGGCUAAGAAAUCUACAAACUAAAGAACAAUUAUUCAGUCUGCAGCUGUUUAAAUACUUUAAUCUGGUAAACUCAUCCGAUCUUAGAACAUUUCCGAAUGGGACUGAAGUAUCCAUCAUAACAACCUACAACUCCGACGGACUCUGAUCUCUGGUCAUAAACCAGAGGCUUUCUGUCGACUGACUAUCCAGCAGACGGACCAGCGAUCGCAGAGUGGGACAGCCAAAACAUACACUCAUGUAACGGUAUUCGUCGUCUGAAGAAGAAGAAUCAUCGGACCAAAGCACAGUGUGUGAUAGCGACUCCGACGGGGAGCCCCCGGUGCCCGCUCUACCUGUGCCCCCAGUGGUGUUCAUAUGCCACAGUUCAUUACUGCAGGCAUGACUGUGCCUCAGGGCCAAAAGGGCACAGCAUGGAGGCGUCGUUGUGUUCUGUGUCGCAUGAAAUGCACCACCUGUUCAGUUUGGGACAUGGCACAGGCAGCAAAAUAUUAUGACGGGGACCUCCAAGGGGUGUACUGUUUUUUAAAAAUAUUUAUUUUCUAAUAUUUUUUAAAACAUUUUUUUGUGUGUGUGUGUUAGAAUUGCUUUUUGAUAUGUUGUAUAUAGUUAUUUGCACUGCUGUAUAUAGUUAUAGGUCAUUUCACCAAUUCGGCCACUUGGGUACAUUUGGGCAACUUGUGUGGGACACCUGGGUGACUUCAUGCUAAAUGUCAUGUAGUUCACCCAUUCCUGAAGUUAUCAGUCUGAAACUUUGCACACCUACAGUUGCCCUCUUGUGUUAUCCAUCCAAAUUAUCUCCAGCAUCCUAUCUGACUGUGUGGCUAUUCUAGUACAUGUGAAAGAUGAUACUACAACAAUAAAAA